CCUACGGGGUGCAGCAGUGAGGAAUAUUGGUCAAUGGACGGAAGUCUGAACCAGCCAUGCCGCGUGCAGGAAGACGGCUCUAUGAGUUGUAAACUGCUUUUGUACAAGGGUAAACCUGAAUACGUGUAUUCAGCUGAAAGUACUGUACGAAUAAGGAUCGGCUAACUCCGUGCCAGCAGCCGCGGUAAUACGGAGGAUCCAAGCGUUAUCCGGAUUUAUUGGGUUUAAAGGGUGCGUAGGCGGAUUGAUAAGUUAGAGGUGAAAUGUCCGAGCUUAACUCUGGAACUGCCUCUAAUACUGUUGAGCUAGAGAGUAGGUGCGGUAGGCGGAAUGUAUGGUGUAGCGGUGAAAUGCUUAGAGAUCAGACAGAACACCGAUUGCGAAGGCAGCUUACCAAUCUAUAUCUGACGUUGAAGCACGAAGGCGUGGGGAGCAAACAGGAUUAGAUACCCGUGUAGUC
rnacentral:rRNA from 1 species